rnacentral:rRNA from 1 species
GUUACUUAAGCAUAUGGAGAAUGCCUUGACUCGUAUGAGCGAUGAAGGACGUAGCAGGCUGCGAUAAGCCUCGGGGAGCUGCCAAGCAAGCUUUGAUCCGUGGAUUUCCGAAUGGGGAAACCCUCCUGUUUUUUAGCAGGAAUUAUUAUUUGAAUUCAUAGAAUAAUAAAGUCAACCUAGUGAACUGAAACAUCUUAGUAGCUAGAGGAAUAUAAAUCAAUAGAGAUUCCGUCAGUAGUGGCGAGCGAAAGCGGAACAGUCUAAACCAGUGCUACGCAUUGGAAAUUUCAAAUUCCAAAUUCCAAAAACCAAAUAAAUUCCAAAAACCAAAAUUCUAAAUUUCAAAACAUGUAUUUGUUUGUGAUUUAUUAUUUUGAGUAUUGUGAUUUGUUUGGAAAUUGUGAUUUGUUAUUUGGUUAUUCCACUGCGUGGCAUUGGGGUUGCGAGGUAGUCGUACUCGUUUGAUCGUGGUUGCUUUAUAUUUUUUAGUAGAACACUUUGGGAAGAGUGGCCAUAGAAGGUAACAGCCCUGUAUACGAAAAAAAAUAUAAAGUGAUGAGACUAUCCUCAAGUAGGACGGGACCGGAGAAAUCCUGUCUGAAUCAGGGAGCACUAACUUCCAAGACUAAAUAUUAUACGAGAUCGAUAGUGAACAAGUACCGUGAGGGAAAGGUGAAAAGCAUCCCGAUGAGGGAGAUGAAAUAGUAUCUGAAACCAUAUGUUAACAAGGAGUCAGAGCGGUGUUUACACCGCAAUGGCGUACUUUUUGUAGAACGGGCCAACGAGUUAAUUUUAUACGGCUUGCAUAAACCACUUUGUGGGAUAUGCGUAGUGAAAGCGAGGCUUAACCGCCGAAUUUGUCGUAUGAAUUAGACCCGAAGCCAGGCGAGCUACGCAUGAGCAGGGUGAACCCCAAGUAACAUUGGGGGGAGGCCCGAACCCACUGAUCGUUCAACUUCAGGGGAUGACUUGUGCGUAGGGGAGAAAUUCCAAUCGAGCUUGGCGAUAGCUGGUUCUCUCCGAAAUAGCUUUAGGGCUAGCGUUCGGGAAAUGAGCAAGGGAGGUAGAGCUACUGGAUGAGUUUUCGCGGUUCGCCGUAGGACACUCAACCAAACUCCGAAUUCUUUUGUUUCUUAUCCGGGCAGUUAGAACCUCGGCGCUAAGGUCGAGGCUCAAAAGGGAAAAAGCCCAGAUCAUAAUCUAAGGUCCCAAAAUUCAUGUUAAGUGGUAAAGGAAGUGAAAUUUCUGAAACACCUAGUAGGUUGGCUUAGAAGCAGCCAUCCUUUAAAGAGUGCGUAAUAGCUCACUAGCUUAGAGAUUUCGCGUCGAAGAUGUAACGGGGCUAAACAUGAUACCGAAGAUAUGGAAUCUGUGUGUAACACAGAAAUUCUAAAUUCCAAAUUCCAAAAACCAAAUAAAUUCCAAAAACCAAAAUUCUAAAUUUCAAAACAUGUAUUUGUUUGUGAUUUAUUAUUUUGAAUAUUGAAUUUUGUUUGGAAAUUGUGAUUUGUUAUUUGGUGUUUCCGUGUUGCACACGGAUUGGUAGGAGAGCGUUCUUUAUGCGAUGAAGUCAAAGGCGUGAGCCAUGGUGGAGCGUAGAGAAGUGAGAAUGUUGGCAUGAGUAACCGCAAUGUGAGUGAGAUCCUCACACCCCGAAAAUCCAAGGUUUCCUGGGCAAUGGCAAUCAUCCCAGGGUUAGUCGAUCCUAAGGCAAGGCCGAAAGGCGUAGUCGAUGGACACACGGUUAAUAUUCCGUGACUACAACAAUAUUCGAUGGAGUGACGCAUUUUAGUAACUACUGCACAUAAUUGGAUUUGUGUAGGGUACUUGAGGACGUAUGGUAGGAAAAUCCGCCAUGCAUUAAGUCCAAGAGUAUUCUGGAAGCCGCUCUUCGGAGUGGCGCACAGUAGCGAGCAGAGUGCCAGGAAAAGCUUCUAAGGUUCGUAUUGUUGUAAUCGUACCAAAACCGACACAGGUAGAUAGGGCGAGUAGCCCAAGGGGAACGAGAGAACCUUCGUUAAGGAACUCGGCAAAAAAUCUAGACGUAAGUUAGCGAGAUGUCUUCCCAGUGCCCCACAUUGGAAAUUUCAAAUUCUAAAUUCCAAAAACCAAAUAAAUUCCAAAAACCAAAAUUCUAAAUUUCAAAACAUGUAUUUGUUUGUGAUUUAUUAUUUUGAAUAUUGAAUUUUGUUUGGAAAUUGUGAUUUGUUAUUUGGUUAUUCCACUGUGUGGCAUUGGGCGCAGCUAAAGAUUCCCUAGCGACUGUUUAUCUAAAACACAGGUCUCUGCAAAAGCGCAAGCUGAAGUAUAGGGGCUGACACCUGACCAGUGCUGGAACGUUAACGGAAGCGGUUCACGCCAAUUCCCGAAGCGCCAGUGAACGUCGGCGAUAACUAUAAUCGUCCUAAGGUUCUGAUUCUACGUAGUAGUGGAAUUAGAAUAACUGGGACGAUUAGAGUAAAGAUAAACAAGCUAUGAUAAAGAAAAAUGCAAAGGAAAAGUAAACGCCUAUCCCGAUUAAUUAAUUUUUUUCGGGAUGUAAAUCAGCUAUAUGCUGGAAAGUCUGGAGUAUCUGAAGCUACUCGAUUAUAAAUUUAUUUUUUAAUCAGUAAAAAUGCUAUCAGUGCAGAUAAUCAGCAGGAAAGAUUCUAAUUUAUUAGAAAAUCCUCAGAGACUAACAUGCUGA